AACAGAAAGGGGCUUCAAAGAGCUUCAUGGAUGAAUUGAGAGCUUUGAGAAGCAUAAGGCACCGUAAUCUACUCAAGAUCCUUGCUGCCUGCUCCAGCAUUGAUCCUCAGGGUAAGGAUUUCAAAUGCUUGGUCUUUGAGUUCAUGAGCAAUGGAAACCUGGACCAGUGGCUGCAUCCAAGAUGUGAUGAUCAAUGUCAACCAAGAAGUUUGGACAUUGUCCAAAGACUGAAUAUAGCUGUGGAUAUUGCUUCGGCUCUGGAUUAUCUCCACAAUUAUUGCCAAAACCCAAUAGUUCACUGCGACCUAAAGCCAAGCAAUAUACUCCUUGAUGAAAAUAUGACAGCCCAUGUUGGAGACUUUGGAUUGGCAACGUUCCUUCUUGAAGAUUCAACACUGUCACAGACAAUAUCAGCUGGCCUUAAGGGCUCUAUUGGUUACAUUCCUCCCGGUAUAUUCUCCAUUAAUAGUCUUGAAAACCUUUUGCUCUAACUUAGGAAAUAUACCAGGCAAAUUUUUUUUGGAAUUCUUAACUUUGUUAUGCUUUUCAUUUUAAUAGGUUUUACAUACUGUAAUUCUUGGUACAUUACGCUAAGUUGACUCUCCAAUUUCAUUGCAGAGUAUGCUUCUGGCUGUCCGGUGUCCACAUCUGGCGAUGUAUACAGUUAUGGGAUUUUACUGCUGGAAUUGUUUACAGGUAAAAGUCCAACUGAUGACAUCUUUAAGGAUGGUUUAACUAUCCAUGAGCUUGUUGCUAGGGCUUUAGCUGGGCAUAUCAUGAUGGAGAUAGUAGAUCCAUAUCUGUUAUUGGCAGAAGAAAAACACUGCAAAGAUGAGUAUGAAUCUAGUGAAAUGAAGGAGGAAACAAUUCUCAACAAUAAUCUGUCACAAAAUUCCAGUAGGAAUCUGGAUGAAUGUUUGAUUUCAGUACUGAGAAUUGGACUUUCGUGUUCCAACCCAUUUCCCUUGAAUAGGAUGCCGAUGACCAUAGUUGUGAACAAAAUGCAGGAAAUCAGAGACCUAUACUUUGGCAUUAAGAACAGAAGGAAUGAAAUGGAUAUAAGAUAUUAAUCGCUCAUUUUGUCGUUUCAUUCUUGCAAUAUGGUAGGAAGUUUACCAUUCUGCUGCCUUUGUUUUGUACUUUUAUGGUGAGAAACAAGGGUAGCUUAUACUGCCAAAUCUGCAUUGCUGUUCUGAGAUGUUGGAUCCCAUCUCUUGAUAUAUGGAAGUGUUUACAUGUGACAAAGCAGUAUAUAUGAUCAGAGAAACUGAGAUAGAUGUCUUUGGUUCUGUAUAUAAGCAGGCUGAGGUUACAUCAUCAUUUGUCCAUCUGGUCCUGUACUUGAACAGAAGUUUUGUGGUGAAUUUGAGUUUCAACUAGGAUAAAAUUUGUGUUACAACAUUGAAAAAGAUGAGGUAAUCAUAUUGCAUUCAUGAAGCAGCAAAAAAUUGGUUAUUUUGUGCAACAAGAAGUGCUGAAUUCAAUUACUAGAAAAACUUAACUAGGCAAGAUAAUUAUGAAAUUCCUAUUUCGACUUUCGAUCCCCUCUCUUUUCUCAUUUCCUAUUCUCCUUGAAAGAUUUAGAAUGUAUUUUGAAUCCAACAAAGACAAUAAAAAAAAAAAGGUAUAUGAAUAAACUUUGGUUCGGUUAAGAAUAUCAUUCUAGCUAGUUAACAUAAAAUCUCAAGAUAGCUUGAGCCAAAAAAAGGUUCAAAAUUACCUCUGCCAAUUGUUCUACGUCACUUUCUUCCUUCCGUCCACUAGGUCAAAUUUAUGGGUCCAAAAUCUCAUCGAUCCUUCUAGGCAUUGCUAUUUUGUCAAAACUAUGAAGAGCCACGAUCAUCAAUAAAGUAACAUGCAACUUUUUGGCCUCUUCCUGAUAGACUUUUCCAACAAAGUCAUACAAUGCUACAAAGUCUCCCUAAGAAGAGACUUUGCCUGCCAAUAAUAGGAAAAAAAAAAUGCCCCACAUUGAACUUAAAGAAACUCCCACGGCACAAUGAAGUUGUCUUAGUUAAACGGUUUUCAUUUAUGUUUUAAAGAUAAAAAAUUACCUAUUUAGGGGAUUGGACUUGGUACACCUAAAAUUAAUAUUGAGUGGCAACUCCAAGUUUUUUAAAUACCCUUUUUCUAGACUUUAGUGGGCCCAAAUUUAUCGCCUUUCGCAAGUCCUAUUGUAGGUCCUUUUUCUUUUUAUUUCCUUGUUUUAAUUUUAAAAAAAUUCAAAAGUUAUUUUAAACAAAUUCUUAAAGCUUAUCUUUUUAUUUUAAAAAAUGAGGUGUGACACCCUUAACUUUAAAAAAUAUCACAUACCUCCCCUAUCAAUCAAUUAGGUCCUAUUAUCGACAUCAAUAGUGGUGAAAUGACUCUUAUGCCCUACCUUUGAUUGAGAUAUAUGUAUAUUUUGGAUUAAUUACAAAUUACACCAAUAUAACUAGGGGUGAUUGUCCAUAUUUUAACAAUUAAUUAAUAUAUUAGUUUUGCUUUGUUCAAAAUAAAUUACUAAUUUCUUGGAAAAGCAUUAAUUAUUAAUAAAAGAUAAAGUUACAGAAGCCAAUUCUAGUAAUGUAUGAUAAUAACUAGGAAUCACUAAUAAACAAAGAAAAUUUAUAAAAAUUUUAUACUUUUCUUAUACUAAUUUGCAAUAAUUAUAUAUUCUUCUUGAAAAAAAAGAACAUAUAUUUAAGCAUGAAGAAAAAUGUUAAAAAGGAAAAAAAGAUAGAGGUAAUAAUAAAUAAAACUAAAGGUGCAACAUUGUUACCAAAUAUUUAACUUCUAUCAUUAUUGACAUUUAACAAGUAGUAUGAGGUUGUUACAUAAGAUUUUCAAAUACUUUUUCAUAUAUGUAUUAAUUAUGGUGAUUAAAAUUUUUGUAAGGAAUAAAAAAUGCAUUUGAGCUUGGAAGAAUUAAUUAAGGAAAAAUAGAAAAAGAAAAAGGAAAAGGAAAUUACAAAACUUGAAUGCUAAUUAAUCUAAAGCUAAGUAAAUAAUUGCUAAGGGCCUAAUUGAAAACACAAAAGUAAAGUUUCAGGGUCAAAUUACAAAGUCCUAAAAUAUGAAGAAUUAAUUACAAGGAAAAGGGAAAGUUGAGGGACUAAAUUGAAAACAACGGAAAAUAAUUAUCUUCUCCGAACUGACCGCCGCACUCCAUUGCUGUUACAAUUCUUCAAUGGAAAUUUCACCAGAAACUAGAAAUCAUCAUCUCCGGCGAGCACUGGACUCGCCGGGGCUUUGCCUUCACUCAAAACACACACUAAAAUUCACAUAAAAUAAGAAAAACAGCAAUAACAAAAUGAAAAACCCAAAGCCAAAAAUCUGUCAAAUCUCUCACUUCACCUCACCGGUGAGUUCACGGACUCUAGCCGGCGUUGGACUGGCUGGAGUAACAGUAUAACAAAAUGAAAAACCCAAAUCCAAAAAAUCUGUCAAAUCUCUCUCAAUUCACGGGCUCCGGCCAGCGUCGGACUGGCUGGAGUUCUUCCCCACGUGCAAAGAUUCAACAAAAGUUCAUUACAUUCAGCUUUAAACUUCAUUUCGGGCAUUUUAUCAAACAUCUAAGAGGCAUUUGGAAAUCUUGGAUUUCUUUCUUUCCCAAAUUUGUAUAUAACAAGACCCAAAAAUUUUCUCAAAAUUUUGCCAACAAGAAAGGUCAGAAAAAGAACAGAAGAUUUGGGGAAGUUAUCGUUAUGCACAGAGAGGUUGUCAUAUCGUAAAAUGGGAACACCUGGAACACGUGCAUUAACGGAUAUAUUUCUGAUGGCGGAAUUGAUUCUUUUGGGGAUUUUCUUGAUGCUUUUCUGAGAAGUUUCGGUUAUAAAUCUUUGAAUAUAUUUCAUUUAUGACAUUUCGGACAAGAUGUUUAGGAAGUUGGAUAGAGCAAUUCGGCUUCCUCAGAUGAAAGGAUCAAGAACUAUGGGUCUGUUUGGAUUGUGAAUUAUUAGAGAUAUUUUUACUAUAGUACUUUUUGUGAUGUGAUGUAUGUGAGAUAAAAAGGUAAUUGAAAAGGUAAAAAGGUGUAUUGGAAAUUGUAAUGAUGAUGUAAGCAAAUAAAUUUUGAGAAAUAAAACCCAAUCCAAACAAAGCCCAAUAUUAGUCAUAUUAUAGAGAGUUGAUAGAACUACAUAUGAAACAGGAUCAGUAAAUUGUGUCAUAUUAUUCCUAUUAGGUAGAGCCAAACAUUUGAAAGUAAUUUCAGAAGUUUUUCCAUCUCAGGCAUUUUUGUAAGUCACAAAAGUACCCAGAAAAGCCUAUCAGAAAAGGCCCAACAUUUCAAAUUGUUCUGCUGAGGUUAACGGUAUUGGGCUUAGUUUUAUUAGCAGCAUCUAGGUAUUACAACAAAAGCACAUAGGCCUUGUUUUGGACAAAAACCUAAAUGAAUGCAUUCUUGGAUACAUUCUUGCUUUUAUUUUUUUGGGAAAGGUUCUUGGAUACAUAACCUCCUUAUAUUGAAAUUAAAACUAAAUUCUAGUAGCUGCGAAAUGGGAAAAAAAUAUGAAGAGGUUUCACAUGGCAGGGAUGUGCAGGUGAUGGGCAAUAAGAGUAAGAAUAGUAGUAUUGUAACAUUACAGUUUGUUCUAACCCUGGUCACAUCAAGUAGCCCAAUUUUUAAUUUUUGAUGAUUAUAUUUGAAAGACAAGUCGAAUUGCUCGAUACUUAUUAAGACUUCGUUAAAUUUAAUGUGUGAACUAAUUAAACCAAAGAAGAAGAGAGUGUGUUCGAUAAAUUUCCAACCUCAAUCUGACAUUAGGUCGAAUAGUAUAAAAUUUAAAAUUGAUAUAUAUUAAAAAGUCAAACCAGUGCAGUUUAACUUGAGUUUGGUUUGGUUUGAUAAAAAUUCGUUUUAUUUUGAUAUCAUAAAUGAACAAGUCAAAAUUGAAUACAAUUUCAAACUCUUUAUAAUAAACAAAUAAAUCUAAACACUGCAUUGUCCGAUUUGAUUAAACUCAUUUAGCCUCUAUUAAAUAGCAGGCAGGUUUUUCAACUUUUGAUAUUGAAAAAAGUGGCUACUGAUUCACUGUCUUUCACUGUCAAGUUCUUAAUUAAUCCGGAUGCCACACCAAAACAGCUCACCCGAUGAGAUAUUUUGCUUCUGAUUCCAGUUUUCUUGCUUUAUUAAUUCUUCUGUCCUUUUCUCCCAUCAAUGAAUUCUUUGGACCAUACCAAAUCUGACUGUGAUGGCAUAAUAUAUAAUAAUGCUAGCAACAUAUGCUUCAUGGGAACAUCCCCUCAUAUAAUAAUUUGUCAAUUUUGAACUAUUAUAUAAAUAAAUAUAUAUAUAUAUAUAUAUAUAUAUAUAUAUAUAUAUAACACAGUUAUCAAGUCUCAACUAAACAAGUAGUCAUCCUAGUUGUUAGUUUCCUAGUUGUCAGUUACAAAUUGUCAUACUCGUUAUAUUCCGUGUGAACAAAAAUAAUCUUUUGAUGGUAGUUAGUUACCUAUGAAAAACUAGCGAAUAUAGUUCCUUUUUCCUUAGAUCUUUCAGUAGAUACAGAAAUGGUAUACAUCAGCCCAAAUUUCAGAUGUUUGCCUGCACAUGUCUUGUUCCUUGUAGCUCUUGUUCUGUGCAUGAAUAUUCCUGCAAUGGCUUCAGGGAACGCCGCUGACCAACAAGUUUUACUGGACAUAAAGAGCAGGAUUUCUCAGGAUCCAUUCCAGAUUAUGACUGGUUGGAAUGAUUCUGUGCACUACUGCCUGUGGGAAGGUGUUACAUGCAAUUCAUCCAAUGAUAGAGUCAUGAUCAUCAAUUUGUCAGCAAAGAAUUUGGUUGGUUCUGUACCCCAAUCCAUAGGCAACCUGACUUGUUUAACUGCUCUAAACCUGCGAAACAAUACUUUCCAAGGUAAGAUACCUCAGGAAAUUGGUCGCUUACUCCGGUUGCAGCAGCUCAAUCUGACUUGGAAUGCAUUCAGUGGAGAUAUUCCGGUGAAUUUAACUUACUGCACAGAGCUUAGAGUGCUUGAUUUGGUAUAUAAUGAGCUUGUUGGGAAGAUUCCUGAUCAGCUUAGUUCACUGUCAAAGCUGGUCUUAUUUGGUCUUGGCGGCAACAACUUCACUGGUUCUUUGCCUGCUUGGAUUGGAAACUUUUCAUCUCUGCAGAUAAUCACACUUGCUCUUAACAGUUUUCAAGGACGUAUACCUCCCGAGCUUGGCCGCCUCUCAAGAUUACGGGUUUUUCAAGUUUAUGGAAAUGAAUUAUCUGGUACGAUUCCUUCUUCAAUCUAUAACAUAUCAUCCAUUUACUACUUUUCUGUUACUCAGAACCAAUUGCAUGGGGAACUCCCACCAAAUGUUGGCCUUACCCUUUCUAAUCUUGAGAUUUUUGCCGGUGGGGUGAAUAAUUUUACUGGACAAAUCCCUGUUUCGUUAUCAAACGCUUCCAAGCUUGGCCUGGUAGAUUUUGCUCAAAAUGGCCUCACUGGAACAGUCCCUGCGGUUUUAGGAAAAUUGCCAAAUUUGUUUAGGAUCAAUUUUGAUGAUAAUACACUUGGAAGCAGGCAGAGUGGGGAUUUGGAUUUCAUUUCUUCCUUAACCAACUGUACAGUUCUGGAAGUUUUGGGAUUGCACGGAAAUUCUUUUGGUGGAGAUUUGCCGAGCUCGAUAGCCAACCUCUCAGUAAACCUCAGCAUUCUCACCCUCGGUUCCAAUUUCUUCCACGGAAAGCUUCCUGCAGGAAUUGGAAAUCUUGUCAAUUUGAACGUUCUAGGGCUGGAAGAAAAUUUCCUAAGUGACAGCAUUCCUGAUAUCCUUGGAAAUUUUAAAUCUAUACAGGGGCUAGAAUUAAAUGACAACGAAUUCUCUGGGUGGAUUCCAUCUUCUAUCAGUAACUUGACAUCCUUAACCAGACUUUACCUGCAAAACAACAGACUAGAAGGAACGAUACCUCCAGAGCUAGGUAAGUGUAGAAGUUUGCAGGUUCUGAAUCUCACUGGGAAUAAUCUUACUGGCGCCAUACCGGCAGAGAUUACUAGUCUAUCUUCUUUGUCUAUCUCUUUGGCCAUUUCACGAAAUUCUCUCAGUGGCUCGCUGCCUCUUGAAGUGGGCAAGUUGUUUAAUCUGAAUGAGUUGGAUUUAUCAGAGAACAAAUUAUCAGGUGAAAUUCCUAGCACCCUCAGCAGUUGUCUUAGUUUGGAGCGCCUUGUGUUGAGCGGUAAUUUGCUUCAUGGAACAAUUCCUGAGUCUUUGAAAACAUUAAGAGGUAUUGUGGAGAUGGAUUUUUCACACAACAACUUGUCAGGAGAAAUUCCAGAGUUCCUUAGUAAGCUGCCUUUCCUCAAAAAACUUGACCUCUCUUUCAAUAAUUUUGUCGGCAAAGUGCCUACUGAAGGAGUUUUUUCAAAUGCAAGUGCAUUUUCAUUAAUUGGAAAUGAGAAGUUAUGUGGUGGUGAUCCAGGCUUGAAUCUUCCUGAAUGCCCAGAAUUGGCACGUAGAACAGCCACGUUCCGUGAACUAAAAGUAUUAAUCCCUGUUAUUGUUUCUAUUGUUUUCCUGGUAUUCCUAUUUUGCGGUCUUGCUGCUCAUUUUGUUCUAAGGAGAUCAAGUGAAAGACCUUCAACAUCAACUCCGUCAACUGUAGAAGAUUGGGAACGUGGAAUUUCAUUUGAAAAAGUAUUUAGCUCAACAAACGGAUUCUCUGCAGACAACUUAAUUGGUUCAGGUAGUUUUGGUUCUGUAUACGAAGGAGUUCUAGAUGAAGAUGGUCCAAUUGUGGCAGUGAAAAUACUGAACCUCCAACAGAAAGGGGCUUCAAAGAGCUUCAUGGAUGAAUUGAGAGCUUUGAGAAGCAUAAGGCACCGUAAUCUACUCAAGAUCCUUGCUGCCUGCUCCAGCAUUGAUCCUCAGGGUAAGGAUUUCAAAUGCUUGGUCUUUGAGUUCAUGAGCAAUGGAAACCUGGACCAGUGGCUGCAUCCAAGAUGUGAUGAUCAAUGUCAACCAAGAAGUUUGGACAUUGUCCAAAGACUGAAUAUAGCUGUGGAUAUUGCUUCGGCUCUGGAUUAUCUCCACAAUUAUUGCCAAAACCCAAUAGUUCACUGCGACCUAAAGCCAAGCAAUAUACUCCUUGAUGAAAAUAUGACAGCCCAUGUUGGAGACUUUGGAUUGGCAACGUUCCUUCUUGAAGAUUCAACACUGUCACAGACAAUAUCAGCUGGCCUUAAGGGCUCUAUUGGUU
rnacentral:lncRNA from 1 species